GGCUCCGUAGCUCAAUGGUAGAGCAGUUGACUCUUAAUCAAUUGGUUGAAGGUUCGAGUCCUUCCGGAGUCA
rnacentral:tRNA from 1 species